UACGAAGGGGGGCGAGCGUUGUUCGGAUUUACUGGGCGUAAAGGGCGCGCAGGCGGUUCUGUUUUGUCGAGUGUGAAAGCCCCGGGCUCAACCUGGGAACUGCGCUCGAAACGGCGGAACUAGAGUUCGGGAGAGGAGAGUGGGAAUUCCCAGUGUAGAGGUGAAAUUCGUAGAUAUUGGGAAAGAACACCGGUGGCGAAGGU
rnacentral:rRNA from 1 species